UGGUUAGUGGCGACGGGUGAGUAACACGUGGGCAAUCUGCCCUUCACUCUGGGACAAGCCCUGGAAACGGGGUCUAAUACCGGAUAACACUCUGUCCCGCAUGGGACGGGGUUGAAAGCUCCGGCGGUGAAGGAUGAGCCCGCGGCCUAUCAGCUUGUUGGUGGGGUAAUGGCCUACCAAGGCGACGACGGGUAGCCGGCCUGAGAGGGCGACCGGCCACACUGGGACUGAGACACGGCCCAGACUCCUACGGGAGGCAGCAGUGGGGAAUAUUGCACAAUGGGCGAAAGCCUGAUGCAGCGACGCCGCGUGAGGGAUGACGGCCUUCGGGUUGUAAACCUCUUUCAGCAGGGAAGAAGCGAAAGUGACGGUACCUGCAGAAGAAGCGCCGGCUAACUACGUGCCAGCAGCCGCGGUAAUACGUAGGGCGCAAGCGUUGUCCGGAAUUAUUGGGCGUAAAGAGCUCGUAGGCGGCUUGUCACGUCGGAUGUGAAAGCCCGGGGCUUAACCCCGGGUCUGCAUUCGAUACGGGCUAGCUAGAGUGUGGUAGGGGAGAUCGGAAUUCCUGGUGUAGCGGUGAAAUGCGCAGAUAUCAGGAGGAACACCGGUGGCGAAAGCGGGAUCUCUGGGCCAUUACUGACGCUGAGGAGCGAAAGCGUGGGGAGCGAACAGGAUUAGAUACCCUGGUAGUCCACGCCGUAAACGUUGGGAACUAGUGUUGGCGACAUUCCACGUCGUCGUGCGCAGCUAACGCAUUAAGUUCCCCGCCUGGGGGAGUACGGCGCAAGCUAACUCAAAGAUUGACGG
rnacentral:rRNA from 1 species